rnacentral:rRNA from 1 species
AUUGAACGCUGGCGGAAUGCUUUACACAUGCAAGUCGAGCGGCAGCGCGGGGCAACCUGGCGGCGAGCGGCGAACGGGUGAGUAAUGCAUCGGAACAUGUCCAUGUCGUGGGGGAUAGCCCGGCGAAAGCCGGAUUAAUACCGCAUACGCCCGAGAGGGGAAAGUGGGGGACCGCAAGGCCUCACGCGAUUGGGUUGGCCGAUGUCCGAUUAGCUAGUUGGCGGGGUAAGAGCCCACCAAGGCGAUGAUCGGUAGCUGGUCUGAGAGGAUGAUCAGCCACACUGGGACUGAGACACGGCCCAGACUCCUACGGGAGGCAGCAGUGGGGAAUUUUGGACAAUGGGGGCAACCCUGAUCCAGCCAUUCCGCGUGAGUGAAGAAGGCCUUCGGGUUGUAAAGCUCUUUUGUCCGGAACGAAACGGGUGCGGUGAAUAUCCGCGCCUACUGACGGUACCGGAAGAAAAAGCACCGGCUAACUACGUGCCAGCAGCCGCGGUAACAC